AGAUAAUAGAUACCCAGGUAGUCCACGCCGUAAACGAUGGAUGCUAGCUGUUUGAGGUAUCGACCCCUCAUGUAGCGAAGCUAACGCGUUAAGCAUCCCGCCUGUGGAGUACGGUCGCAAGACUAAAACAUAAAGGAAUUGACGGGGACCCGCACAAGCGGUGGAGCGUGUUGUUUAAUUCGAUGGUAAGCGAAGAACCUUACCCAGGCUUGACUUCUACGGAAUUUUGGCGAAAGCCGAGAGUGCCUUCGGGAACCGUAUGACAGGUGUUGCAUGGCCGUCGUCAGCUCGUGUCGUGAGAUGUUUGGUUAAGUCCAUCAACGAGCGCAACCCUUAUAGUUAGUUGGAUUUUCUAGCUAGACUGCCCUGGCAACAGGGAGGAAGGAGGGGAUGAUGUCAGGUCAGUAUUACCCUUACGUCUGGGGCUACAAACACGCUACAAUGGCCGGUACAAAGGGCAGCCAAGUCGCGAGGCGGAGCAAAUCCCAUCAAA
rnacentral:rRNA from 1 species